CCUACGGGAGGCAGCAGUGAGGAAUAUUGGUCAAUGGGCGGAAGCCUGAACCAGCCAAGUAGCGUGCGGGAUGAAGGCCCUACGGGUCGUAAACCGCUUUUGCACGGGGAUAACACCCUCCACUUGUGGAGGUCUGCAGGUACCGUGCGAAUAAGGGCCGGCUAAUUCCGUGCCAGCAGCCGCGGUAAUACGGAAGGACCGAGCGUUAGCCGGAUUCAUUGGGCUUAAAGGGAGCGUAGGCGGGCGUGCAAGUCAGCUGUAAAAUCGCGCGGCUCAACCGCGCCCCGCAGUUGAAACUGGACGCAUUGAGUUCACAACAGGCAGGCGGAAUUCGUGGUGUAGCGGUGAAAUGCAGAGAUAUCACGAGGAACCCCGAUUGCGAAGGCAGCCUGCCGGGGUGCGACUGACGCUGAGGCUCGAAGGUGCGGGUAUCAAACAGGAUUAGAUACCCGGGUAGUC
rnacentral:rRNA from 1 species